rnacentral:rRNA from 1 species
AGCCAUGCGAGUCGAGAGGGUCCGGCCCUCGGCUGACGGCUCAGUAACACGUGGAUAAUCUGCCCUUAGGUGGAGGAUAAUCUCGGGAAACUGAGGAUAAUACUCCAUAGAUCUAGGAUGCUGGAAUGCAUCUAGAUUGAAAGCNCCGGCGCCUAAGGAUGAGUCUGCGGACUAUCAGGUUGUAGUCAGGGUAAAGACCUGACUAGCCUACGACGGAUACGGGUUGUGAGAGCAAUAACCCGGAGACGAUAUCUGAGACACGAUAUCGGGCCCUACGGGGCGCAGCAGGCGCGAAAACUUCACACUGUGCGAAAGCGCGAUGAGGGAAUCCCAAGUGUUUGCUCGUAAGAGUAAACUGUUUCUUUGUUUAAAACGCAGAGAGAGUAAGGGCUGGGUAAGACGGGUGCCAGCCGCCGCGGUAAUACCUGCAGCUCUAGUGGUGAUCAUUAUUAUUGGGCCUAAAACGUCCGUAGCCGGUUUAGUAAAUGCCUGGGUAAAUCGUGUAGCUUAACUACACGACUUCCGGGUAGACUGCUAAACUUGAGACCGGGAGAGGCUAGAGGUACUCCUGGGGUAGAGGUGAAAUUCUGUAAUCCUAGGGGGACCACCAGUGGCGAAGGCGUCUAGCUAGAACGGGUCUGACGGUGAGGGACGAAGCCCUGGGGCGCAAACCGGAUUAGAUACCGGG